AUCGAUUUAGCCAUGCUAGUCGCACGAGUUCAGACUCGUGGCGAAUAGCUCAGUAACACGUGGCCAAACUACCCUUCGGACUACAAUACCCUCGGGAAACUGAGGCUAAUAGUAGAUACCACAGUCCACCUGGAAUGAGGACUGUGCUAAAUGCUCCGGCGCCGAAGGAUGUGGCUGCGGCCGAUUAGGUAGACGGUGGGGUAACGGCCCACCGUGCCAAUAAUCGGUACGGGUCAUGAGAGUGAGAACCCGGAGACGGAAUCUGAGACAAGAUUCCGGGCCCUACGGGGCGCAGCAGGCGCGAAACCUUUACACUGCACGACAGUGCGAUAAGGGAAUCCCAAGUGCGUAGGCAUAGAGCCUACGCUUUUGUCCACCGUAGGGAGGUGGACGAAUAAGGGCUGGGCAAGACCGGUGCCAGCCGCCGCGGUAAUACCGGCAGCCCGAGUGAUGGCCGAUCUUAUUGGGCCUAAAGCGUCCGUAGCUGGCCGCACAAGUCCAUCGGAAAAUCCACCCGCUCAACGGGUGGGCGUCCGGUGGAAACUGUGUGGCUUGGGACCGGAAGGCGCGACGGGUACGUCCGGGGUAGGAGUGAAAUCCUGUAAUCCUGGACGGACCGCCGAUGGCGAAAGCACGUCGCGAGAACGGAUCCGACAGUGAGGGACGAAAGCUAGGGUCUCGAACCGGAUUAGAUACCCGGGUAGUCCUAGCCGUAAACAAUGCCUGCUAGGUGUGGCUCCCACUACGAGUGGGUGCUGUGCCGUAGGGAAGCCGCUAAGCAGGCCGCCUGGGAAGUACGUCCGCAAGGAUGAAACUUAAAGGAAUUGGCGGGGGAGCACUACAACCGGAGGAGCCUGCGGUUUAAUUGGACUCAACGCCCGGACAUCUCACCAGCAUCGACUGUAAUAAUGACGAUCAA
rnacentral:rRNA from 1 species